rnacentral:rRNA from 1 species
UACGAACUGCGCGAACGUUAUCCGGAUUCACUGGGUUUAAAGGGUGCGUAGGUGGGCAGGUAAGUCAGUGGUGAAAUCCCCGAGCUUAACUCGGGAACUGCCGUUGAUACUAUCUGUCUUGAAUAUCGUGGAGGUAAGCGGAAUAUGUCAUGUAGCGGUGAAAUGCUUAGAUAUGACAUAGAACACCCAUUGCGAAGGCAGCUUACUACAUGUUAAUUGACGCUGAGGCACGAAAGUGUGGGGAGCAAACAGG